GGGCGGAGGGGGCUGGGAGGACGGAGGGGGCUGCGCCGCGCUCGGGGAGCGGAGGGGGACCAAGGGGUCCUGAGCGGGGGAAAGGGUGCCAGGCAGGAUGCCAGGACCGCAGGCCCGUGAAGACCAUGGCGGCGGCUGUCUGAAGACCAGCUCACAGCAGGAGCUGCGCUGAGAUCUUCUCCUGGGUGCUCAUGCUGGGGCCCGAGGUCGUAUGGAAAAGGCUUGUCCCCCUCGCUGGAUGUCACAAGGCUCAGAAGAGGAACAUGAGACACAGAUGGGCUGAGUAAGCCCCCACGACGGCAGCAGGGGAGUGAAAUGGAACCAGGGUGUCCAGCUCAGGCCACGCCCCCUCCCCGGGUUGCCUGCUUGCUCUGAGCCCAGCGUUUCUACGUGUGAAGUGUCUGCCGUGUUAGGGCAGCCGAGGACCCAGCAUCCCAGGUUCUCUGUGCAGUGUUCAUCACUUGCCCUCCAGAUCUUCCCAACUCCCACCUCCCCAGCCGGCCUCCCCACUCCUGCGGAAGUAACUGCUGGGGCCCAGGACUCACUGUUGCCCCAAACGCCCAGCACUUAGCCCUCCUCGUGCAAGACUCAGCUCUAACCUCAGGUCCUUUGAAGGCUCCCACGCGCUGGCCCACCUGCGGGAAAAGCUGGUCUUCCUCCGUGCCUGACGUGAUGUCUCCGUCCCUUCCUCACCAUCACGGCACUGAGUGCCUUACCUGCUCACACACAGGGCCAUCUCCCCACCUGGACUGUUCGAUCUGAUGAUUUUUAUCAGCGUAGGUGCUGGUAACCAUGAGGUAAUGUGCUGAUGGGGAACUGAUGGGUUAGUGAGUGGCUGGACAGCUCCUGCCAUCCUGGCUGGUGGGGGCGUCCCCCCUGGACUGUGGGCCCUGCUGGAGCAGGCAUCUGAUGCACCCCAUGGCCCCCACCCAGUGCGUUCCCUGGAACACAGGCUCUGAAAUGUGCAACGUGUGGAUUCACGAGGCAGUGGCCAGGGGGGCUCGUGCGGCUUGCUGCCCUGGGGCAGAGGCAGGAAGGGCUGACAGAGGCUCUGUGCCCAGCUCUGCCAUGUGGUCCUUGGCAGGCGCUUCUGCUCUUUGUGUCUUGGUCUCCCUGUCUGUUCAAUGGAGCCCACCCCAGGUUCUGUGGGCCUCCAGAACCACCUAGAAAGAGCACCUCACGUAGGUGCAGUCACAAGGGGAGUGCCCACUCACACAGCUACCUUCCAGCAAAGCCCACGCUGCCCAUGUGCCCGCAUUCGUUUGCAUGAUGGUUUUUCUUUUUUUCUUGUGCUCCCGACAUUCCUAGGUCCCCAGCCUCCAGAUCACCCUCCUUAUUAUACCCAAAUGAAAGGCUCCACCACUUCAGCACCCCCCGUCCCCAGACAUUUCCAGGAGGUGGCGGGACCCAGGAGUCGGAUGCACCCCUGGCACCUGUUACCUCUGGGUCCUUCUCUCCUGUUCGCACAGUGCCCACAUCCUUCAGCCCCCCACUUAACAAGGGGUCCCGUCUUUUCUGAGGAUAUGAGGGUGACAGGGACCACAGUUAGCAUGCAGCUGCCAUUAUCUCAAAAUCACAGGAAAUUUUCUCUUUGUAAGUACCCUAAGUCUUCGCCAUUGCAGGGAACAUCUCACCCACCCCAUCCUGGCACAUAGACUGUCCUCUCUGGGGUCUUCCAGUAUUCAGAACUGGUGCUCCCGAGGCUCCUUCCUCUCCUACCCUGGGCACCUAAAGCUCUUGUCUCCACAGCCCUCCAGGCAAAAACAGGAAAUGCAUGCUUAUUGGGCAGAGUUGUCUGGUUCUUCUCCUUCCCUGCUGCCAUUCCAGAAGAGGGCCGGCCUCCUGUGCAUAGAUGACAGGUAAGCAGGUGUGGUUUCCGAAAUGUAGUCUCACCUGCUCGCAUCUCUCCCAUAGGCGAUAGGGGUGCAGCAGCCUCCCCUAACACACUGGGCGGGCGCCUCGCUGGGCAGGAGUCUCUCUAGGGGGGUGCCUCGUGCUCUUCUCCUCCCAGCCCCUUUCUCCUUCCUUUUCCAAUAGAAAGGACCUCAAAACAAUAGAGCUCAGUGCUGGUGAUGAGAUCAGUGUGCCUCUGCCCUCUGGGUGCCAGGGGAGAAUCCCGCCAUGCCUGGCUGUGUGUGUGCUAAGCACAGAGAACAAAGCAGAACAUGUCUCAGCUAAAAGAAACUUCCUGAGAAAUUCCAGCUGGAAAGCGCAGGAGUGACCGCAGGCUGCUAGAUAAAUGAGAGUCGACUUUAUAGAUGGCUCAGCUAAAAGAAACUUCCUGAGAAAUUCCAGCCGGAAAGAGCAGGAGUGACCGCAGGCUGCUGACCGCAGGCUGCUAGAUAAAUGAGGAUCGACUUCGCAGACGGGCAGGAAAGUUGCAGUGAGACAGGAGAGCAAUGCUGGCUCUGGGUGCCCUGGGGUUGAUAAAUAUUAGUCUCUGUGGAGUAAAUGGAUGAUGAUGGAGCUUCCCCACAGAGAGAAGAACUAAGGCUUUGGAUGCUUGGAGCAGAUAUUUCCAUUAUUAUUAAGUUUGUUUUUUGUGGAUUUAAUUAGUACUUAUUCAAACUCCAUUCGUGAUCUGUCAUACUGCUCUCUCAAAGCCUAAUUGGUUUUCUACAUAAAAUGUCACAUAGUCUUACAUCCACUGUGUGGCUGCUGGAAGUCUGUUGCUGUGUUCAGCAGGGGCUGAUUGUGGAGGUGAAAUAUGGCUUCUUGAGGAGGAACAGAGACUUGUAAACAGGAGGUUGUCAGCCUGGGCUUGGGAAGCAUCAGAGCCA